CGACCACAUGGUUUUUAUGUUAAGCCUAGCGGACGGGCGGGUCAUUUGCCGA
rnacentral:sRNA from 18 species